rnacentral:piRNA from 1 species
UGCUUAGGUUGAUGACGUGUCUUUGC